rnacentral:lncRNA from 1 species
CAGCAACCACCAGAGCUGCCAUUUCCUGGCGGUUAAGACCCCCAUCGCCAUUUGUAUCAAAAUUCUGGAAGAUUCUUUUCACCUUCUCCGAUCUGCUCCCCCUAGUCGCCAUUUCCUCUUUUCAGUCGAAAUUUACGUUUCUUUUAACAAAAAAUUCGCAAUGCAUAUUGUAGGGUUUCUAAAUAAUUAGUGAUCUCGGAUAACAAGAAAUUGAUUAGGGUUCUUUUAACAAAAAGUUUGCAAUGCUUAUUCUAGGGUUUCUAAAUAAUUUGUUAUCUUAGAUAACAAGAAAGUGUUACAUUCGGGGUAGAGAAUCUGUAAUUGGGUGGUUUCAGGAGGAAAAAAAUAGGGUUCCAGAAAAAUAAAAUUGAGCAACAAAUAGUAAGGUUCUUAAAGAAGUGGGAAAACUUGAACACCCUCAAUUGAAUUAACAAAAACCUAGUUGAAAGGAGGGUAUUUUACAGUGGAAGCAAAUAUGGAUUCUGAAGAAUUGGAUUAAAAUGAAGUGGAAGCAUAUAAAACAAGAUUCUCAACUAAAGAUUAUUCAAAGAAUUUGAAUAGUCAUUAAUUUGCAAAACCUGAAUGGAAGAUGAAGGCUUGAGGGUAAUAGAAUAGCAUGUAAUAGAAUGCAGAUGUAGAGGAGGAAAGGGAAGAUUACUCUUUUUCUUCCACUUUGCAUUUUACAUUUUCUUCGAGUGUUUGUGACUACUUUUAGACAUUGUUUUGGACAACAAAACAACUAGGACUAUUAUAUAUC